CUGCUCACUUCAGCAGCACAUAUACUAAAAAUUAGAAUGAUACAGAGAAUAUUAGCAUGGCCCCUGCACAAGGAUGACAUGCAAAUUCAUGAAGCGUUCCAUAUUUUN
rnacentral:snRNA from 1 species